UACAAAAUCUAUGCAGCAGAAACUGAUAUCUUUUUUUUCUUUUUUUAAUUUCACACAUUCUUCUUCCUGGCCACAACAUGGCGCCUACGUUACCCACAAUGCAACUCAACCGCUCACCGUUUCUUACCAGGUUUGACAGAGUUGACCCAGUAGCGGCUAAUUUAGCUUCAAGCUGCUGGUCUGAAUCACAGAUGAAGAGCGGCCUACACACUUCUGACCUGCCCCAGCACACACUCAUUCUACAGUAGAUGUAAAGUCACGGUAGAAUUCCCUCUAUUUGGUGAUUGAGGGAUUCUUCAAGCAGUUCCCGCCAUUCAGGCUGCGCUCAAAGACCCACGGAUGAGGAAGCUGACUGAGAAGGACAAACUGGUAGAGAAGUUGGGCACUGAUGACUUCAGGAAGGAAAAGCAGUCUGUGG